ensembl:piRNA 21ur-7090 ncRNA
UUCAGAUAAUUUUUACGAAUU